rnacentral:rRNA from 1 species
GACAUAGGUGGCGAACGUUAUCCGGAAUUAUUGGGCGGAAAGGGUGCGUAGGUGGUUUAACUAGUUAUCGGUGGGAAAUCGGGGCUCAACCUCGUGGAAGUCGGUAAUACUGUUAAACUAGAGGGUCGGAGAGGUUAACGGAAUGCUAUGUGUAGCGGUGAAAUGCGUAGAGAUCAGGAAGAACAUCGGUGGCGAAGGCGAUCUGCUGGACCAUAACUGACACUCAGGGACGAAAGCUAGGGGAGCGAAUGGG